CCUACACCUGGCAGUUUUACUUAUGGACUACUGUGUGACAUGUGUAUCAUUAGUGGCAUCUAGAAGAGAUAUUUGCCUACAAUUAGUGUUUGGACCUAUAAACAACUGAAUGACUGGUAGUCUAACACU
ensembl:snoRNA